UCCAGGGCAGCCUAGUGGACAUGGCACCUGCCCGGUAAGCAGAAGGUUGUGGGUUCGAUUCCCGCCCCUGGAC